rnacentral:rRNA from 1 species
UACGUAGGGGGCAAGCGUUAUCCGGAUUUACUGGGUGUAAAGGGAGCGUAGGUGGCAUGGUAAGCCAGAAGUGAAAACCCAGGGCUCAACUCUGUGGAUUGCUUUUGGAACUAUCAAGCUAGAGUGCUGGAGGGGUAAGCGGAAUUCCUAGUGUAGCGGUGAAAUGCGUAGAUAUUAGGGGGAACACCGGUGGCGAAGGCGGCUUACUGGACAGAAACUGACACUGAGGCUCGAAAGCGUGGGGAGCAAACAGG